GAUCCUGGCUCAGGAUGAACGCUAGCGGCAGGCUUAACACAUGCAAGUCGAGGGGCAGCAUAAUGGAUAGCAAUAUCUAUGGUGGCGACCGGCGCACGGGUGCGUAACGCGUAUGCAACCUACCUUUAACAGGGGGAUAACACUGAGAAAUUGGUACUAAUACCCCAUAAUAUCAUAGAAGGCAUCUUUAUGGUUGAAAAUUCCGAUGGUUAGNGAUGGGCAUGCGUUGUAUUAG
rnacentral:rRNA from 1 species